rnacentral:rRNA from 1 species
AUGGCCGGCGCUGGAUCGAGUUCAUCCGCACCAAGAGAAGGAGGCUUUCACUUGAUGAGUUGCCUAAAAGAAGUUCCGACACUCAGAGGUGACAACCACACUGAGUGGAGGAAGAAAGUUGAACUGGCAUUUAUUUGUGCUGAUCUUGACUGGGUUGUGGUGAAACCACAGCCGGUCAGACCCACAGAGCCAGUAAGAGAGGCCACUGAUGAUGAUGAUGCAUGGGCUAAAAAGAAGGGGGACUAUGCUCCUUUGGAGCAGUCCUACCUCAUAGAUAACCAAAAGUGGGUCAAUGCAAACAAAAAGUGCAUGGCUUUUAUAAAGAAUACAAUUGAGAGCGUCAUUGUGGGCUCCAUUCCAGAGUGCACUUCCGCAGGGGAGUUGCUUACAAAGAUAAAGAGCCAGUUCACUGGCUCUUCAAAGAUCUAUGCCACCCAGGUGUUAGAGCAACUUGUGACAGAACGCUACACAGGUGGUAGUCGUGGAAUAAGAGAGCACAUCCUCAGGAUGAGCAAUAUGGCAGCAAAGCUCAAGCCCAUGGAUGCGGAUCUAGAGACCAAACCAGCACUCCUGGUCCACCUGGUCAUGGCUUCACUGCCACAGGAGUUUGCAACUUUUGUUGUAAACUAUAAUAUGUCACCUGGAACAUGGGACAUUGAAAAGACAAUAGCAAUGUGUGUCCAAGAAGAGGACAGACUCAAAGCCGCACAUGGUGGUUCAAUCAACUAUGUGAAGGAUUGGAAGAAAAAGAACUACAAUCAAAACAACAAAAGUUCUCCUUCAAAGAAUGGAAAAGCCCCCUAUCAGCAUCAGCAACAGCCUUUCUCAGUGGACAAAGACACGUGUCUCCACUGCAAGCAGAAAGGGCAUUACAAGAAAGACUGCGCUGCUUGGCUGAAGUCAGUCAUGGCAAAAAGAGGUAACAAUAUAGUUUCAUUUGUAAAUGAAUCCUUGUAUACACAGUUCUCAAAAUCCACUUGGUGGAUUGAUUCAGGAGCAACUGUUCAUGUUGCAAAUUCUUUACAGGGAUUCCAUUCGACGCGAACUACGCUAAGAAGCGAAAGACGCAUUGAAGUGGCAAACGGAGUUGAAGCAGAAGUUGAAGCUGUCGGUGACAUCUCCUUGGAGUUAGCUGGCGGAUUCAAUUUUCUACUUAGAGAUGUUUUAUUUGUUCCAUCAUGUCAUAGAAACUUAAUUAGUGUUUCUUGUUUGGACAAAGAUAAUUAUGAAUGUCAUUUUGGACAUGGCAAGUGUGCCAUUUGGUAUAAU